rnacentral:lncRNA from 1 species
AUGAGCCCCUCAAUGAUCUUCUUUAGGAUGCAGAGCUGCUGUUUGGCACACUCAAUGGAGGAGGGAGGAGAGGGGCUGCUGCAGGCUCCAGCGCCGCCGCCGCCUUCUCCGGGCAGCAGCGGCGGCGCGGGGCGCGGCGGAGCGCGGGUGCGCUGCGUGCGCGGUGCGGGCGGUGUGUGCGUGUCCGUGUGUCCGCGUCCGUCUGUGUGUCUGCGGCCGUGCGGCCGUGUGUGUGUGCGCGUGUGUGCGUGUGUGUGUGUGUGUGCGCUGCCGCUCCUGCCCUGGAUCAGGCUCCUCCACGUCAUGAAAAUCAGCUUCAAGAAGGGGAACAAACGGAGGGGGCGCGCUCGGCUCCAGGAAGAAGAAAAACAUCUCAGCCACUCAAAGUGGGAGCAUCCUUCUCCUGUCUUCUCCUUUCCAAUGUCAAGUGAGACAUUUACCCACCUCCAACCCAAGUGA